UAUUAUUGACUAACCAGUUCCUGGGAUUUUUACUACUUUCUUUAAAAUUUAAGACUUGGGUCUGUCAUAAAGUAUUUGUAAUAAUUUGAAUAUCUACAUUCUGAAUUGCAACCAAAUAACUGAUUUGUUACCUAACAAAAGCUUUUCAAUAUCUGCCCUCAGGACACAGAAACAGGGAAGGUUUUCUGCAAUUCUCCGAGCUGACUUUCAUUAACAGCUGUAAGUCAAAAGAUUGAGAUAUUUACUUUUCCAGCUGUGCAUGUGAGGACAGGCAGAUAAACAGGAAUGUUGGGGGGUACUUGAGGACAUUGACAACAGAUUUGGCAAACCAGAUAACAUUAUUGCAUUACUGUCCUUACAUAUAUUUUCUAGAGACAUACAAAAUUCCAUUGAAACCAGUUUGCAUGCCUUUUGGAAACAUAUCCCAAUUAUUAUUUUUU